rnacentral:rRNA from 1 species
UACGGAGGGUGCGAGCGUUGUCCGGAAUUACUGGGCGUAAAGCGUGCGCAGGCGGCUUCGCAAGUCAGACGUGAAAUCCCCGGGCUUAACCUGGGAAUGGCGUUUGAAACUACGGAGCUGGAGUGUGGCAGAGGGAGGUAGAAUUCCACGUGUAGCGGUGAAAUGCGUAGAUAUGUGGAGGAAUACCGAUGGCGAAGGCAGCCUCCUGGGCCAACACUGACGCUCAUGCACGAAAGCGUGGGGAGCAAACAGG